rnacentral:rRNA from 1 species
UACGGAGGGUGCGAGCGUUGUCCGGAAUCACUGGGCGUAAAGGGCGCGUAGGCGGUGCGAGAAGCGUGUGGUGAAACGGCCGGGGCUCAACCCCGGCUCGGCCGUGCGGACUCUCGCGCUUGGUGAGUGCUGUAGAGGCGGGCGGAAUUCCGGGUGUAGCGGUGGAAUGCGUAGAGAUCCGGAAGAACACCGGUGGCGAAGGCGGCCCGCUGGGCAGUGACUGACGCUGAGGCGCGACAGCGUGGGGAGCAAACAGG